GGAGGUAUAGAGGUAUGGGACUGUAGGUGGAGGUAUAGAGGUAUGGGACUGUAGGUGGAGGUAUAGAGGUAUGGGACUGUAGGUGGAGAUAUAGAGGUAUGGGACUGUACGUGGAGGUAUAGAGGUAUGGGACUGUAGGUGGAGGUAUGGGACUGUAGGUGGAGGUAUAGAGGUAUGGGACUGUAGGUGGAGGUAUAGAGGUAUGGGACUGUAGGUGGAGGUAAAGAGGUAUGGGACUGUAGGUGGAGGUAUAGAGGUAUGGGACUGUAGGUGGAGGUAAAGAGGUAUGGGACUGUAGGUGGAGGUAUAGAGGUAUGGGACUGUAGGUGGAGGUAUAGAGGUAUGGGACUGUAGGUGGAGGUAUAGAGGUAUGGGACUGUAGGUGGA
rnacentral:lncRNA from 1 species